rnacentral:rRNA from 1 species
UACGGGGGGAGCAAGCGUUGUUCGGAUUUACUGGGCGUAAAGGGCGCGUAGGCGGUCAGCACAAGUCAGUUGUGAAAUCUCUGAGCUUAACUCAGAACGGCCAAGUGAUACUGCAGUGCUAGAGUGUGGAAGGGGCAAUCGGAAUUCUUGGUGUAGCGGUGAAAUGCGUAGAUAUCAAGAGGAACACCUGAGGUGAAGACGGGUUGCUGGGCCAACACUGACGGCUGAGGCGACGGAAAGCCCAGGGGAGCAAACGGG